AAAGGACAGAAAUAGCCCCGCCUCCUCCGCAAUUUAAUUUGUCUAUAAUACCCUUCAGCCCCCUUCUCUGCCUCUGCUGUGCUGUGUCUGUGUGGCUUUGAUUUCGCUUCCGAAGCGACAAGCAGCACCCACUCUCUCUUCUCGGACCUUCCAAACAUGGAACGCAUCGUUGGCGGCAAGUACAAGCUCGGGCGCAAGAUCGGAAGUGGAUCCUUCGGCGAAAUCUACCUCGCGACGCAUAUUGAUACCUUCGAGAUCGUCGCCGUCAAGAUCGAGAAUAGUAAAACAAAACAUCCCCAACUGCUUUACGAGGCAAAGCUCUACAAUAUUCUUCAAGGAGGAAGUGGCAUUCCUAACAUAAAAUGGUCCGGCAUAGAUGGGGAGGAUAAUGUGCUUGUUAUUGACUUGCUUGGGCCGAGUCUUGAGGAUCUCUUUGUGUAUUGUGGAAGGAAGUUUUCAUUGAAGACUGUAUUAUUGUUGGCUGAUCAAAUGAUCACUAGAAUAGAAUAUGUGCAUUCUAAAGGAUUUUUACACAGGGAUAUUAAACCGGAUAACUUUCUCAUGGGACUUGGUCGAAAGGCCAACCAGGUUUACAUAAUUGAUUUUGGGCUUGCAAAACGAUAUCGGGAUUCCACUACUAAUCGCCACAUCCCUUACAGGGAGAACAAAAACUUAACAGGUACUGCUCGAUAUGCAAGUUGUAAUACUCAUCUUGGGAUUGAGCAAAGUCGACGGGAUGAUUUGGAAUCACUAGGAUAUGUACUUCUGUACUUCCUAAGAGGAAGCCUUCCUUGGCAAGGUCUAAAGGCUGCUACAAAGAAACAAAAGUAUGAUAAAAUAUGCCAGAAGAAAUUAUCAACUCCUAUUGAGGUACUAUGCAAAUCUCAUCCUGUAGAGUUUGCCUCGUACUUCCAUUACUGCCACUCUUUGACAUUUGAUCAGCGACCUGAUUAUGGAUUCUUGAAGCGCCUAUUUCGGGACCUAUUUGCUCGAGAAGGUUAUGAUUUUGAUUAUGUAUUUGAUUGGACCAUUUUGAAGUACCAGCAAUCUCAAAAGAAUGUAAUGCUCCCUCCAUUAUCUCCAGUUCCAGGAGCAAGUAACAGUCGUGCAACUCCAAUCGAUGUUGACAGCCAUCAAGGUCUUAAUGCAUAUUCAGGGCAUGUUAAAGAGCGUAUUAGAGCUGGUGAUGCUACUGGUUCUGGUGUUAAAAUUCAGUUUAAAUCACCAGUGGGUAAAAAUUUGAGUUAUGAGAAUCCACUUGACAAAAAUAUUUUUGGAGAAGCAAAUAUACCCUCUACUUCAUUUUCUCCUGCUAGUACUUCAAAAAGGAACUCCUUAAAGCAAUCCUUGUCUGCUGAAGCUUCCAACCCUGGACAUGCACAAGGCAGUAAAAUGGGCCCUUCAAGUAGCUGGAUGUCAUCUCUGCAGCGCAUGUCUUCUGCUAAAUGAUUGCCAAAUAUGCUAUGAAGCUUUGAAGAAGAUUCUGUGCAUCUUUUCCCAAAGUGUUUGGUCAAGAAUAUUCAAGUCAUUUAUUCAUGGAGACUGCAAAUGUGCUAGAAAAUUAACAGAUUGCAUAGCUCCUAUUUUGAGGCCAUUUAGUGUUGCUUCUUUCCUGAGGUGACUACAAAUGAUUGUGCGGUUAUUAUCGAAAGUGUAAGCUAUACUGAUACUGAAGCAUGCUGACCAAAAAAAAAACUGAUACUGAAGCAAACAUUAUGGCUGAAAGAUCACUGAAAUAAUGGUCUCUUAUGAGUUAUCAAAGGUUUUCCACUAUUCUCUAUCCACAUACUAACCGUGUCAAAUAGAGUACAUUGAUUGGGUGAAUGGAAAGUCGGAACUUGCAGGCUCUCUGGAGGUAUUUCAUAUGCCAGCUUUAUCUCUCUACUUGAUUAGAUUACCCAGCAUUAGAAAGGAUUGCAGGGAUUGUGAAGAUUAUUCCAAGGCAUCCUGCUUUUCCAUGAGGUGAGUGAAUGGAAUUUGUGCUUGAAACACAGGAAAACCACAUCUGUGAGGUGCACUUUUCAGAAUUUGAUUAGUAGGGAGUGCUUUGCUGGAAUCAGUGGAAUGCUAAAUGUUAUUCAAAUAAUUCCAAUGUAAUUUAUAAUUCUGAAAAAAUGCAUGUUGAAAUGUAUGGUUAAAGAUUCUUCGCUGUGUAUGCCGAAGAGACCUUUUAAAUUUCAUUUGUAUCAAUUACAGGGUUGAGAUGUGUCUCAAUUACAGGGGUUAAUGCAGAUUAGUUUUGUUAGACGCCUUUGA